rfam:Picea glauca, whole genome shotgun sequence.
CAAGGCAUGGGGGAGGAGCGGAGAUGGUGUUCCGUGUCUUGUGUCGGCGAGCGGUGAUGUUGUCCCCUAGGGGUCUGUGUCCUCAACCCAUGGGCUAUCAGUAGUCUGCCCGAGCUGCUAUCGCAGCGAGGGCGGGAAGUCGCGUGCUGAUUGGGCUACGGACGUAGAAUGUCCUCUCGCGGGGGAUUUUCCCUAGGCGGUGAACAGUCGACUCAGAAUUGGUACGAACAAGGGGAAUCCGACUGUUUAAUUAAAACAAAGCAUUGUGAUGGUCCCUGUGGAUGCUAACGCAAUGUGAUUUUUGCCUAGUGCUCUGAAUGUCAAAGUGAAGAAAUUCAACCAAGCGAGGGUAAACGGCGGGAGUAACUAUGACUCUCUUAAGGUAUCCAAAUGCCUCAUCAUCUAAUUAGUGACGCGCAUGAAUGGAUCAACGAGAUUCCCACUGUCCCUAUCUACUAUCUAGCGAAACCACAACCAAGGGAACGGGCUUGGAAGAAUCAGCAGGGAAAGAAGACCCUGUUGAGCUUGACUCUAGUCCGACUUUGUGAAAUGACUUGAGAGGUGUAGAAUAAGUGGGAGCUGUUUUCGGCGCAAGUGAAAU